AAUCGGAUUGACUGGGCUGUUUGGGGCCCAUAUGGCUGGACAGCUGGACAGCUCCACUGAAAAGACACCAUUGCCCCUCGGAUGGGAUAAAGCAGGGCUUCCCCAGAGAGCUCAGACAUGACCUAAGUAUUAGCGUAGCCUGGGGUGAAGACUGAGUUAAAUCUCUCCCCCUUCUUGAGGUUAAAAUAAAGACAACAGAAAUCAAAAGGGGAGUACUUUUGAAUUCAUUGUGAAUGGCGAGCCUCCUGCUGGUCCUACCGUAGGAAGGAGGGAAGACUGAGAGGUGCCCUUCAGCUGAGCACAUGCAUGAGGGUGGGUAAACGGAAGGGGCAGGAGAUUGGAAAGAAAUAUAUUAUUUGCCAAACCGUGGCAUGUGUCAGUGACAUUUGUGGUUCCCUGUUCAGAGAAGCAGGGUUCUGACCUCCCUCAGCUGAUGCUCCAAUGUUAACCAAGAAGAACAGCGUCUGAGUGCGAUUUCCACGAAUCGACAGUCUCACAGCCACGAGAAUCCCAUUUUACAAAGAGAAGACAAGCCAGACUGCUUUAAAUGACUUGGUGAAGUGUGUAAACUGGGAUUGGGGUGCAAGCCUGCCAGCCCCGAAGAUUCUGCUUUCUCCAUCAUAACACCAUUCCAUAACACCAUCUUCUAGAACGCAGAUGACGUUAUAUAAUGCAAAGCUUGUAUUAAAAAAAAAAAAAACCCCAAAAAAUCAAACCAAACAAACCAAAACAGCAUUUGUCCUGCAGCACACAAGCAGGGUGAGGCGACAGCAGAUCAGCAGAGGAGAAAUGUCACUUAAGACUGUUUUUUUCCACUGCUAAACAGUGUUGUACACUAUGCAAAUGGGAUUGCAAAGGGUAGGUUGUUACUAACCCUUUGAUGCUAGAUGUGUUUCAGAGAUGAUACUUGGGGCAAUCAACAUAAACUGCAUAUACUGUAUCCUAAAUAAUGGAACUGCUGGUGUGCAUCAUUCUGCCAUCCUCCCUACGACCCGGGAAGCCGAAGGCAAUGAUCUAUAGAGACAAUAAGUGUGCAUUUAAACAGCAUCUUUUAAGGGCAGUAGCACUGUUUCACCACCUGGGGAGGGGAAGGGGAGGGGUACCAGAGAAUUUAGCAAUCCUUUCGAGGGUAGAGUUCCCCUGGGGAAUUUCUGGGGGUGGCAGGCUGUCUAUCAAGGUGCAUACUUUCUUCUGGGUGAACUCUUGCAUCAGGAUACCCCAAGACAGGCCUGGUAAAGCAAGGUCUCUUGUUUGGCCCACACUCCAUUUUUGGUGCCUGGUCAGACAUGGGAGCUGGUACCAUACAAUGUAAAAUGAAAGGAAGAACUGAUACAAAAAAAGAUGUGGGAAUAAAGAAAAAAAAAGUGAGGUUGGGGUGGGGAAAGAUGAUAGAGGCCGCACAAGCCUUACAACUUGAGUUCCAUUCCAGAACCCAUGGUAGAGAGAGCAGACUUCUCAAAGUUGUCCUCUGACCUUCACCCAUGUGCUGUGGCACCCCUUACCUCACCCUUUAUGCACACAGACACAGCUAAUAAAUAAAAACUAGAGA